CAAGUAAAAACUGCACACAGGUUUUCAUGCAAACACCAUAUGCAAUGCAUCAAUCAGACUGACCUCUGAGAAGUCCAGACAGCAGCUGGUACACAGCAAGCAGAAAAGCAGAGCAGCCUAUCUGCAAAGAAUGCAGAAUAGCUAAACAGGAAAAGAGGGGGGUGGUGGUCUGCUCUACUAUAAAAGCUGCUCAGGAGAAAGAAAAUGCUCUGAGCUGCAGUCACUGAACUUCCAACAGUCAAGAGCUGGAACAACAGGGUGAAGGACAGCUCUGUAAGUGAUACAUACUAUUUAUAAUCAGGGUGAAUACAACAGAAGACAGGGCAAUGAAAGGUGGAAAAAGUACAUUCUGGGCACGGAUCUCAACUUCUGCCCAGAACAUUCUGCUGCAGGAACCAAAACUGAUCCCUUCUCCCACUGAACUACAAAGGGAGAAAUUAAUCCUGAGAGCUACAGGGUGAAUGAAAAGGGCAAUCCUGGUUAUUUAUUCGUCCUCCCCACCACAUACACUUCCUCCGUUCCUGACUGUCUGGUGACCUGCUGGGAAAGCCUAUGGAAUAACCUCCUGCUGGCUCCUCUGGGGACAGCUGUAUCUAUUCACUGCUGGAUUCUGCAACUCGGGUAUCUGCCACGAGGGCCGCAGACCUCCAGGAUUUCAAGCUUUCUUCCACAGGCAGCAAAAACACUAAAGCCAAGAGGGCUGUGACACAGCCAGACACCACACAGAUGGAUUUUAAUUAUAUAUUUUACAAGCUUUGCUUUCAUAGAGAAUUUCAAUAUUUUCACUUUCCAACAGAUGUAGUUUUUCAAAAGUUGUGAGUUUCCUGCUUUUUAAUCAAUAAAUCAGAAGAUCUUCAGGAAUGAGCAUCAGUACAGUGCAGGUGAAAGUUCUGUCAAAGUACUCAACUAUCCUCAAGCUGCACUUGCUGUAACGUUAAUAGGUCAGAUUAACAGAAGAAAACCAUAGUUACCUUGCCUACAAACAGCCGGAGGGCAGCAAAGACAUGCUUGAGAGCUGCUGCUGACUGGUUGAUUUGCAAAAAGAGCAUGUGUGUGUCAAAGACCUUCUUCAUCAAUGCAUUCUGGCAAUCAGAUUGCUGGAGCUGCCUCUGAAAAGCACACAGAAGACAGAACAUGCUGGUUAUUUAAGGGAAUGAACAGAUGAUGACCUGCUGGACUUUGCAUUAAGAGUGCUCCUAGUGAGGUGUUUGUUUUUUUUCCUCCAGUGUCUGCUCUAAAAUCUCAGGGGAUGAGGCAGUCCCAGCUUGCUGCAGACAUGUUUCACGUGUAGUUUUCUAAAGGUAACACUUGACCUGUACUCCGACUUUUGCAUACACCAGAUUUAAGGGUGCUGAAGUGAGAUGCUAAAUCUGAAAGGACCUGCUUGCUCUUUUGUAGCUGUGAGACCUUUGAGAAGUCAUCUGGACUGACAUUAAUAGAAUGAUUUUUAAAGUGCAGAGGAUUCGCCUGCCAACUUGAGUGGAUACAGAUGAACACGAGUAAGAUGAGGUGACAUAUUAGUAGAUGAGCAACCCUUUCAUGCAGAGCAGAGCUGUAUAUAGCCUUGGAUAUGCAGGAUGCUCUGCUUCUCAUCUUUCUAUUCAAUCUGCAUACUGUGAGUCAUGAAAUACCCUCACUGAGGACUGUUAUCUUAUUUCCUGAUCUUGCUGUCUCAGACAUUUUGAGUCUUCUGUGUACCUGACCCUCGAGGUCUUUCCCCCACUGCAUAACUCACACGGCACCACUUCAAGCAGACAACAAAACAGCAAAACAUACCUGGUGGUUCAGAGUGUAAAGACACAACAGGUCAAGAAUUGUGAGGGAGACUUCUGUGGCAAUGUUUGCCUCUGUGUCCACGUAUUGUAUAAUGUCUGUUUCAUUCGAGCUGCCUACAACAUAUGAAGCAA
rnacentral:lncRNA from 1 species